rnacentral:rRNA from 1 species
UACGUAGGGUGCAAGCGUUAAUCGGAAUUACUGGGCGAAAGCGUGCGCAGGCGGUUUUGUAAGUCUGUCGUGAAAGCCCCGGGCUCAACCUGGGAAUUGCGAUGGAGACUGCAAGGCUUGAAUCUGGCAGAGGGGGGUAGAAUUCCACGUGUAGCAGUGAAAUGCGUAGAGAUGUGGAGGAAUACCGGUGGCGAAGGCGGCAUCCUGGACCGGCAUUGACGCUGAGGAGCGAAAGCUAGGGGAGCAAACGGG